GCCUGGGUGGCUCAGUCGGUUGAGCGUCUGACUUCGGCUCAGGUCAUGAUCUCACAGUCUGUGAGUUCGAGCCCCGCAUCGGGCU
rfam:Felis catus isolate Cinnamon breed Abyssinian chromosome B3, whole genome shotgun sequence.